rnacentral:rRNA from 1 species
UACGUAGGGGGCAAGCGUUGUCCGGAUUCAUUGGGCGUAAAGAGCGUGUAGGCGGCCAGGUAGGUCGGUUGUGAAAACUGGAGGCUCAACCUUCAGACGUCGACCGAAACCAUCUGGCUAGAGUCCGGGAGAGGAGAGUGGAAUUCCUGGUGUAGCGGUGAAAUGCGCAGAUAUUAGGAAGAACACCAGUGGCGAAGGCGGCUCACUGGUCCGGUACUGACGCUGAGGUGCG